GGUUAAGCGACUAAGCGUACACGGUGGAUGCCCUGGCAGUCAGAGGCGAUGAAGGACGUGCUAAUCUGCGAAAAGCGUCGGUAAGGUGAUAUGAACCGUUAUAACCGGCGAUGUCCGAAUGGGGAAACCCAGUGUGAUUCGUCACACUAUCGUUAACUGAAUACAUAGGUUAACGAGGCGAACCGGGGGAACUGAAACAUCUAAGUACCCCGAGGAAAAGAAAUCAACCGAGAUUCCCCCAGUAGCGGCGAGCGAACGGGGAGCAGCCCAGAGUCUGAAUCAGCUUGUGUGUUAGUGGAACGGUCUGGAAAGUCCGACGGUACAGGGUGAUAGUCCCGUACACCAAAAUGCACAGGCUGUGAACUCGAAGAGUAGGGCGGGACACGUGGUAUCCUGUCUGAAUAUGGGGGGACCAUCCUCCAAGGCUAAAUACUCCUGACUGACCGAUAGUGAACCAGUACCGUGAGGGAAAGGCGAAAAGAACCCCGGCGAGGGGAGUGAAAAAGAACCUGAAACCGUGUACGUACAAGCAGUGGGAGCACCUUCGGGUGUGACUGCGUACCUUUUGUAUAAUGGGUCAGCGACUUAUAUUCUGUAGCAAGGUUAACCGUAUAGGGGAGCCGCAGGGAAACCGAGUCUUAACUGGGCGUUAAGUUGCAGGGUAUAGACCCGAAACCCGGUGAUCUAGCCAUGGGCAGGUUGAAGGUUGGGUAACACUAACUGGAGGACCGAACCGACUAAUGUUGAAAAAUUAGCGGAUGACUUGUGGCUGGGGGUGAAAGGCCAAUCAAACCGGGAGAUAGCUGGUUCUCCCCGAAAGCUAUUUAGGUAGCGCCUCGUGAACUCAUCUUCGGGGGUAGAGCACUGUUUCGGCUAGGGGGUCAUCCCGACUUACCAACCCGAUGCAAACUACGAAUACCGAAGAAUGUUAUCACGGGAGACACACGGCGGGUGCUAACGUCCGUCGUGAAGAGGGAAACAACCCAGACCGCCAGCUAAGGUCCCAAAGUCAUGGUUAAGUGGGAAACGAUGUGGGAAGGCACAGACAGCCAGGAUGUUGGCUUAGAAGCAGCCAUCAUUUAAAGAAAGCGUAAUAGCUCACUGGUCGAGUCGGCCUGCGCGGAAGAUGUAACGGGGCUAAACCAUGCACCGAAGCUGCGGCAGCGACACUAUGUGUUGUUGGGUAGGGGAGCGUUCUGUAAGCCUGCGAAGGUGACCUGUGAGGGUUGCUGGAGGUAUCAGAAGUGCGAAUGCUGACAUAAGUAACGAUAAAGCGGGUGAAAAGCCCGCUCGCCGGAAGACCAAGGGUUCCUGUCCAACGUUAAUCGGGGCAGGGUGAGUCGACCCCUAAGGCGAGGCCGAAAGGCGUAGUCGAUGGGAAACAGGUUAAUAUUCCUGUACUUGGUGUUACUGCGAAGGGGGGACGGAGAAGGCUAUGUUAGCCGGGCGACGGUUGUCCCGGUUUAAGCAUGUAGGCUGAUUGUCCAGGCAAAUCCGGAUAAUCAAGGCUGAGGUGUGAUGACGAGGCACUACGGUGCUGAAGUAACAAAUGCCCUGCUUCCAGGAAAAGCCUCUAAGCAUCAGGUAACAUUAAAUCGUACCCCAAACCGACACAGGUGGUCAGGUAGAGAAUACCAAGGCGCUUGAGAGAACUCGGGUGAAGGAACUAGGCAAAAUGGUGCCGUAACUUCGGGAGAAGGCACGCUGGUGUGUAGGUGAAGUCCCUGCGGAUGGAGCUGAGACCAGUCGAAGAUACCAGCUGGCUGCAACUGUUUAUUAAAAACACAGCACUGUGCAAACACGAAAGUGGACGUAUACGGUGUGACGCCUGCCCGGUGCCGGAAGGUUAAUUGAUGGGGUUAUCCGUAAGGAGAAGCUCUUGAUCGAAGCCCCGGUAAACGGCGGCCGUAACUAUAACGGUCCUAAGGUAGCGAAAUUCCUUGUCGGGUAAGUUCCGACCUGCACGAAUGGCGUAAUGAUGGCCAGGCUGUCUCCACCCGAGACUCAGUGAAAUUGAACUCGCUGUGAAGAUGCAGUGUACCCGCGGCAAGACGGAAAGACCCCGUGAACCUUUACUAUAGCUUGACACUGAACAUUGAGCCUUGAUGUGUAGGAUAGGUGGGAGGCUUUGAAGCGUGGACGCCAGUCUGCGUGGAGCCAACCUUGAAAUACCACCCUUUAAUGUUUGAUGUUCUAACGUUGGCCCCUGACCGGGGUUGCGGACAGUGUCUGGUGGGUAGUUUGACUGGGGCGGUCUCCUCCCAAAGCGUAACGGAGGAGCACGAAGGUUAGCUAAUCCUGGUCGGACAUCAGGAGGUUAGUGCAAUGGCAUAAGCUAGCUUGACUGCGAGCGUGACGGCGCGAGCAGGUGCGAAAGCAGGUCAUAGUGAUCCGGUGGUUCUGAAUGGAAGGGCCAUCGCUCAACGGAUAAAAGGUACUCCGGGGAUAACAGGCUGAUACCGCCCAAGAGUUCAUAUCGACGGCGGUGUUUGGCACCUCGAUGUCGGCUCAUCACAUCCUGGGGCUGAAGUAGGUCCCAAGGGUAUGGCUGUUCGCCAUUUAAAGUGGUACGCGAGCUGGGUUUAGAACGUCGUGAGACAGUUCGGUCCCUAUCUGCCGUGGGCGCUGGAGAAUUGAGGGGGGCUGCUCCUAGUACGAGAGGACCGGAGUGGACGCAUCACUGGUGUUCGGGUUGUCAUGCCAAUGGCACUGCCCGGUAGCUAAAUGCGGAAGAGAUAAGUGCUGAAAGCAUCUAAGCACGAAACUUGCCCCGAGAUGAGUUCUCCCUGAGACUUUAAGUCUCCUGAAGGAACGUU
rnacentral:rRNA from 1 species